rnacentral:rRNA from 1 species
GACGAACGCUGGCGGCAUGCUUAACACAUGCAAGUCGAACGGAAAGGCCCUGCUUUUGUGGGGUGCUCGAGUGGCGAACGGGUGAGUAACACGUGAGUAACCUGCCCUUGACUUUGGGAUAACUUCAGGAAACUGGGGCUAAUACCGGAUAGGAGCUCCUGCUGCAUGGUGGGGGUUGGAAAGUUUCGGCGGUUGGGGAUGGAAUCGCGGCUUAUCAGCUUGUUGGUGGGGUAGUGGCUUACCAAGGCUUUGACGGGUAGCCGGCCUGAGAGGGUGACCGGCCACAUUGGGACUGAGAUACGGCCCAGACUCCUACGGGAGGCAGCAGUGGGGAAUAUUGCACAAUGGGCGGAAGCCUGAUGCAGCAACGCCGCGUGCGGGAUGACGGCCUUCGGGUUGUAAACCGCUUUCGCCUGUGACGAAGCGUGAGUGACGGUAAUGGGUAAAGAAGCACCGGCUAACUACGUG